rnacentral:rRNA from 1 species
GACGAACGCUGGCGGCGUGCUUAACACAUGCAAGUCGAACGGAACUUCUUGGAUAGAGGCUUCGGCCAAUUGAAUUGAAGUUUAGUGGCGGACUGGUGAGUAACGCGUGAGGAACCUGCCUUUCAGAGGGGGACAACAGUUGGAAACGACUGCUAAUACCGCAUAAUACUUCCGAAAGGCAUCUUUUGGAAGUCAAAGAUUUAUUGCUGAAGGAUGGGCUCAUGUCUGAUUAGCUAGUUGGUGAGGUAACGGCUCACCAAGGCGACGAUCAGUAGCCGGUCUGAGAGGAUGAACGGCCACAUUGGGACUGAGAUACGGUCCAGACUCCUACGGGAGGCAGCAGUGGGGAAUAUUGCACAAUGGGGGAAACCCUGAUGCAGCAACGCCGCGUGAGGGAAGAAGGUUUUCGGAUUGUAAACCUCUGUUUUUAGUGAAGAAACAAAUGACGGUAGCUAAAGAGGAAGCCACGGCUAACUACGUGCCAGC